UUUUCAUAGCUGUUGAAACUGGAUUGGCCCCUGUAAAUGGUUCCUAUGCAUUUAGCCCUUGGCCUUAUGUGCCUGAGAAUGGAUACAAAAGCCAUGGUUGUGGGGUUACGUAUGUUCCAACAUCGCCUGCUUAUUCUGCAAAUAGUAGGGUCACAGGACAUCAUUCUAAGCAUGGUUCGGAGCAUGCUUCCAAUUUAUCCUUUCAGUGGAGCUCCUUCCCUGGAACUUCUGCCGGAGUUGUAGAUCCAAAUGGUUCAUCCACUGGCUUCAGUUUUAUCCAGCAGACAAAUACGAAA
rnacentral:misc_RNA from 1 species